rnacentral:rRNA from 1 species
AUUGAACGCUGGCGGCAGGCCUAACACAUGCAAGUCGAGCGCGUGGCGGACGGGUGAGUAAUAUCUGGGAAACUGCCCGAGGGAGGGGGGUAACACCUGUAGACGGUAGCUAAUACCGCAUACCCUCGGAUGUGCGCCGAUGGGAUUAGUUGUGAGGGGGGGUAACGUCUCACCUAGGCGACGAUCCCUAGAUGGGCUGAGAGGAUGAGCAGCCACACUGGAACUGAGACACGGUCCAGACUCCUACGGGAGGCAGCAGUGGGGAAUAUGGCACAAUGGGCGCAAGCCUGAUACAGCCAUGCCGCGUGUAUGAAGAAGGCCUUCGGGUUGUAAAGUACUUUCAGCGGGGAGGCGUUACCCGCAGAAGAAGCACCGGCUAACUCCGUGCCAGCAGCCGCGGUAAUUC